AAGUGCAAAAGGCCCCUCUGCCAUGCAUGUCCUCAAAACCACAUCUUCAUAAGUUCUUGAGUCAUGUGAUUCUUGUCAAAAAAAAAAAUCAAUUAAUUGCCUAUAUAUUACUGUAACAAAAUAUAUAUAUUGUUCCAUUAUGCUUAUAAAAAAGAUUUAGGAACACAUUAAAAAAAUAACUUAAGUAACUUACAUCAUAAAUCUGAUAAAGGGAUAU
rnacentral:lncRNA from 1 species